UGCUCGUUUGAAUGAUAGGAUCUCAAGACGGGGAAGAAGAUUGGUACAGGGCAAGAAGAUGGUGGUCUGUAUUACCUUGAUGUCAAACAAUCACCCACUCGAGCCCUCACAUCCUCAUCAUCAUCUGCUUUUGAAUGGCAUUGCCGCCUUGGACACCCCUCUCUCUCUCUUUUGAAACGUCAAGUUAGGAAUCUUGGAAAUGUGUCUUCUUUCCUUGUGAAGCAUGUCAACUUAGCAAACACCAUCGUGUGUCUUUUGUACCUCAAGUUGAUAAUCAAGCAUCUAGUCUUUUUGAAUCGGUUCACUCUUAUAUGGG